rnacentral:rRNA from 1 species
UACAGAGGGGGCAAGCGUUAUUCGGAAUUAUUGGGCGUAAAGGGCGCGUAGGCGGCCUGACAAGUGGAUGGUGAAAUCCCUCGGCUUAACCGAGGAACUGCCAUCCCAGACUGUUUGGCUUGAGACCGGGAGAGGUGAUGGAAUUCCCAGUGUAGCGGUGAAAUGCGUAGAUAUUGGGAGGAACACCAGUGGCGAAGGCGGCUCACUGGACCGGUACUGACGCUGAUGCGCGAAAGCGUGGGGAGCAAACGGG